rnacentral:rRNA from 1 species
GAGUUUGAUCGUGGCUCAGAGUGAACGCUGGCGGCAGGCCUAACACAUGCAAGUCGAACGGCAGCACAGCAGUAGCAAUACUGUGGGUGGCGAGCGGCGGACGGGUGAGGAAUGCAUCGGAAUCUGCCUAUUUGUGGGGGAUAACGUAGGGAAACUUACGCUAAUACCGCAUACGUCCUACGGGAGAAAGUGGGGGACCGCAAGGCCUCACGCAGAUAGAUGAGCCGAUGCCGGAUUAGCUAGUUGGCGGGGUAAAGGCCCACCAAGGCGACGAUCCGUAGCUGGUCUGAGAGGAUGAUCAGCCACACUGGAACUGAGACACGGUCCAGACUCCUACGGGAGGCAGCAGUGGGGAAUAUUGGACAAUGGGCGCAAGCCUGAUCCAGCCAUGCCGCGUGUGUGAAGAAGGCCUCGGUUGUAAG